UUAACGAGUUAGGGUCUCUCUGGCCCGACCUCCCAACCCUUUGUCUACUUGACCAUCGUUGCUUCGGCGAGCCCGUCCUCACGGACCGCCGGAGGGAUCUUUACUGGCCCUCUGGUCCGCGCUCGUCGGUAGCCCAACCUUUAAAAUCUUUAACUAAACGUGCCUUAAUCUAAGUACAAUUAUUAAAUAAAAGCAAAACUUUCAACAACGGAUCUCUUGGUUCUGGCAUCGAUGAAGAACGCAGCGAAAUGCGAUAAGUAAUGCGAAUUGCAGAAUUCCAGUGAGUCAUCGAAUCUUUGAACGCACAUUGCGCCCUUUGGUAUUCCGAAGGGCAUGCCUGUUCGAGCGUCAUUAUCACCCCUCAAGCCCUCGGCUUGGUGUUGGACGGUUUGGUGGAGGCCCCCUCGGGGGUUCCUGCCCCUCCCAAAGACAAUGACGGCGGCCUCGUUGGACCCCCGGUACACUGAGUUCUUCACGGGACACGUAUCGGACACAUGGGUUUACGGGACACGGUCUGCCUCCCCUCAGGGAGAAUCUUUCUAAGGUUGACCUCGGAUCAGGUAGGGAUACCCGCUGAACUUAAGCAUAUCAAUAAGCGGAGGAAAAGAAACCAACAGGGAUUGCCUCAGUAACGGCGAGUGAAGCGGCAACAGCUCAAAUUUGAAAUCUGGCCUCUUUGGGGGUCCGAGUUGUAAUUUGUAGAGGAUGUUU
rnacentral:rRNA from 1 species